UUUAAUUGACUAACUUUCAAGUUCCUGUUAUCCACUUCAAUUCAGGACAUUUCGGAGGUUUGAUUAUUUUUUUUUCUUUCCUUAAAUGUACUUGAAUCUACAACAGGAUUCUCAGUUUACCACAGACACAAGAGAGUCUUGUUGCAGUAUUCAGCUCCCACUUGCUGGGCCUUCCUUCAGUUAUAAUUGGCUUUCUGGAGCAUUUCAUGUUAAAUGCUAUAUCAUGACUGUUUUAAGGCAAUGAUUCUAAACUUCUUCUAUACAGUUAUCCUAUGUGAAACCAGAAACAAUUUUCAAGAUCCUCUUCCCAUCUAGCCGUAAAGAAGGGGAAGGUGGUUGUCUGAAACUUGUUUGUGGCCUGACAAGGGUUACAGCUCCCAGGUUGAAAAUCCAUUAUCUCAGAUAUCUGCCAUUAUCAGUCUAUGUAGCCAGGGGUGAGUUCCAGUGCCAUAGCAAGAUACCUUGAAUCUAUUGUUAUAAUUUUUACUAAUUGUUUGUUCUUUGUUCAGCGUUAGAUUUCUGGGUUAUUCGCCAGACACACUUCAGAAGCCAUGAUCACGCUCCUCUGACAAGCUGGAAAAUCAAUCUUAAAUCUGAACAGCCUACAAUUCUAACCUGCCUAAAAUCCCAAAUUGCACAUUAAGGCCACCUGAGAAUAGAUGUAGGUGUUGAGGACCCUCAUGUCCCACUGAAGUUUUCCAGUGUCUGGUGGCUCAUAUUUGGAUACGUUAAGCUGCACAUAGGCUUCUGAGUGAUCAGUUAACUGCCUGGAACCCCAAAUCGGCAGCUGAGAUGAGCGGAGCUGGCGGCUGGUAGGGCUGGACCCUGUCUGGCAGGGGGUCUGUGCUGAAGCAAGAGAUGGAAAGAGGAGGAUGGUUACAUAGCCCUACGCUUCAAAGGAAGAAGGAAAAGAUCAAAUGGAGGAGAGUGGUCAUCGAGCAAAUAUUGGGGGAGGGGUUUACAGAAGGAAAGGAAUGCAACUCAGUGGCUCUCAAACUUUCCAGACUACUGUACCCGUUUCAGGAGUCUGAUUUGUCUUGUGUACUCCCAGGUUUCAACUUACUUAAAAACUACUUGCUUACAAAAUCAGACAUAAUAAUACAAAAGUGUCACCGCACACUAUUAUUGACAAAUUGCUUACUUUCUCAUUUUUACCAUAUAAUUAUAAA